rnacentral:rRNA from 1 species
CAAUGGGCGAAAGCUGAUGCAGCGACGCCGCGUGGGGGAUGACGGCCUUCGGGUUGUAAACCCCUUUCAGUAGGGAAGAAGCGAGAGUGACGGUACCUGCAGAAGAAGCGCCGGCUAACUACGUGCCAGCAGCCGCGGUAAUACGUAGGGCGCAAGCGUUGUCCGGAAUUAUUGGGCGUAAAGAGCUUGUAGGUGGCUUGUCGCGUCUGCCGUGAAAACCCGAGGCUCAACCUCGGGCGUGCGGUGGGUACGGGCAGGCUAGAGUGUGGUAGGGGAGACUGGAACUCCUGGUGUAGCGGUGAAAUGCGCAGAUAUCAGGAAGAACACCGAUGGCGAAGGCAGGUCUCUGGGCCAUUACUGACACUGAGAAGCGAAAGCAUGGGUAGCGAACAGGAUUAGAUACCCUGGUAGUCCAUGCCGUAAACGUUGGGCACUAGGUGUGGGGGACAUUCCACGUUUUCCGCGCCGUAGCUAACGCAUUAAGUGCCCCGCCUGGGGAGUACGGCCGCAAGGCUAAAACUCAAAGGAAUUGACGGGGGCCCGCACAAGCGGCGGAGCAUGCUGAUUAAUUCGAUGCAACGCGAAGAACCUUACCAAGGCUUGACAUGCACUGGACGGC